rnacentral:rRNA from 1 species
CGGGUGGCAGCAGUGGGGAAUAUUGGACAAUGGGCGAAAGCCUGAUCCAGCAAUGCCGCGUGAGUGAUGAAGGCCUUCGGGUCGUAAAGCUCUUUUACCAGGGAUGAUAAUGACAGUACCUGGAGAAUAAGCUCCGGCUAACUCCGUGCCAGCAGCCGCGGUAAUACGGAGGGAGCUAGCGUUGUUCGGAAUUACUGGGCGUAAAGAGUACGUAGGCGGUUAUUCAAGUCAGAGGUGAAAGCCCGGGGCUCAACCCCGGAACUGCCUUUGAAACUAGAUAACUAGAGUCUUGGAGAGGUUAGUGGAAUUCCGAGUGUAGAGGUGAAAUUCGUAGAUAUUCGGAAGAACACCAGUGGCGAAGGCGACUAACUGGACAAGUACUGACGCUGAGGUACGAAAGCGUGGGGAGCAAACAGGAUUAGAUACCCUAGU